AUCCAGCUGACGAGCCCUAAAUAAGACGUAACGCGCGUUCUGGAU
rnacentral:hammerhead_ribozyme from 1 species